rnacentral:rRNA from 1 species
CGGGUUAAUAUUCCCGUACCAUUAUUUGUUGAUAUCGAGGGACGGAGAAGGCUAAGCUAGCCGGAUAUUGGUUUACCGGUUUAAGCGUUCGAGAUGUUGAGGAACGGAGAAAACGUUCUGAGUUGAGGCGUGAAUACGAGAUGCUACGGCGUCGAAGUAGUGUAUGUCAGACUUCCAAGAAAAGCUCGCACUGUCAUAGGUAAAAAAUGCCUGUACCAUAACCGACACAGGUGGGUAGGUAGAGUAUACUAAGGGGCGCGAGAUAACUCUCUCUAAGGAACUCGGCAAAAUGACUCCGUAACUUCGGGAGAAGGAGUGCCUUAUUUAAUAAGGUUGCAAUAACAAGAUCCAAGCAACUGUUUACCAAAAACACAGGUCUCCGCUAAGUCGUAAGACGAUGUAUGGGGGCUGACGCCUGCCCAGUGCCGGAAGGUUAAGGAAGUUGGUUAGUCUAUGACGAAGCUGGCGACUGAAGCCCCGGUGAACGGCGGCCGUAACAAUAACGGUCCUAAGGUAGCGA